UGACAAUGUUGACUCCACCAUCUCUCUCUCUCUCUCUCUCUCUCUCACACACACACACACACACACUCUAUCUAUCUAUGUAUCUAUCUCUCUCUCUCUCGGUAAAAUGAGAUCUAGAGAGAUGAUUUCCAUUAAUUUACCCUUUUCAGAGCAAUUCACCUCAGAUUCUACUAUGUGGAAGUGUUUACUUUUAUCAGUCUGUAAAUACUCUCUCUCUCUCUGCUGUCUUCGUGUCUGUAUGUGAGGGAGAAAGGUGUAGUGUGAGGGUCGCUUUCGUCUUCUCUGAUUCUCAUGAGGAAAAUGACUCAUCAUCUUCCCCUUUGGAUUUACUUAUUAUUCAGUGGUGUUCCGUAUUUUAUGCGAUACCCUACACAAUUUUGCAUCUCCUAUUAUUGUUAUUCCUUAGAAUAUAUGAAUUGAUCAUGUCAUAUGCUACCUUAUCCUGCUUUUGUUUAUCAUUUUGAUAGCCAGUGGAGUGACACUGAAACCCUUCUGUAGUUUCAUCAAGAAUGAAAAUGCACAUUAUUUAACUUCAUUGGAGAUUAGGGUUUCUUCUGUUCUUUGAACCUUCACUUUAUUAACAGACAAGAAGUAGUAGCUGAAUAUCGGUAUUAAUUUUUUCACUUUUUAUUAUUCCUAGGAUUUCAAUAUAUUUCCAACUUUUGGGGGGUGUUUUUUCACAAGAAACCCAUUUGUUUCUCCCGACAAUUACUAUUGUUAUUAUUACUUUUUCUGUUUUCUAUUUUAUGAUCAUAAAUUCAUAAUGGUGUCACAUUUUAUGGACUGACUGAUUUUUUGUUUCACCUGAUUUUCAUUAUAAAUUAUAUCUGUAAGGUGGGUUUUUCAUUUUUGUUAUAUCUGCCCUGGAAUUAGGGUUUUCGGAAAGAGAUUUUGAAUUCAUAGUGAAUUUCAUCAUCAAAAAGGUAUGGUCACUGUUAAAGAUUCUUGAAAUUUAUGAUUUCUAUGGCUUUCUUUCAAUCAUCCAUAAAGUUCAAAUUUCAAUUAUUUUUUAUUGAACUUAAUUAAGUUUGUUAAAAUAAUUUUACAACUGUCACUGUUCUUGAUUGUUUUUCCUUUAUACUCCUGUUUUUGUUGGUCUUUUCAUUUUGUUGAAUUGCUUCGAUAUAUUUGUAAGCUAAAUUUAAUUGAUGGCAUUAUAUAAAUUAUCUCGAUUAUUUCAUUUCCUCUCAUGUUCUUCUAGUUAUUGGGUUCUAGUAUAUUACUUUGAGCAGAUUUCUUGUACUCAUUUUUCCGUUUUCAUGCCAAAAAAGAGAGGAAACGUCACGAUCAUAUAUUUGUUUGUAUUGUUUAUUUUUCUUUACUUUCUGAGGCUUGUGGUGAUAAUUAUAUGUACUCUCCGUGAUUUGAAGUUUCUGUAAUUGUUAGUAAUAUUAUGUACUUGGAAAGUACGGAAGUAGUUAAAUAGGGAGAACCAAUGUCUAUGUAUCUUUUAUCCAUUCUUUCACUUAUUUUAUUUGAUAGUGAAAAAGGCAAAAGACAAGUUGAUUUUUGCUUCUUUAAUAUAGAUGGAGGAUAUCUCUUUCUCAGCAUUAAGUCACUGGUAAGCAAAAUUCGAUAUAAUUUAGCUGUUUUUAGUCUUACAAUUUGAAUAGAAUGUACAUAUAUUCAUUGGGAAUUUUUGUGGCGCUAUUUGCCAUGAUGAUUGUCUUCCAUUUCUGCCUUGACAAGUAUUGGAGCUAACUUUGAUUGAAGUAUGUUAAAAUUUUAGUUGAACGGUUCUUUUCAAGUUGAUCCAUCUUUAUGAAUUUUUCUUUUUUCUCACAGGUAUCUUUGGGAUGCACUGGGAAAUGGUCUACGAGAGCUUACUUCAGUCCACUCAUGGACGAGAUUAGGGGUUGAAUUAGCUGCUGACUCAUUCAUUUAAUCACUCAGUAGAAUACAAAGUUUUUUGCUACUGUGACUGAGUGAAUGAUGCAGGAGAUAGUUCUACAUCCCACUUUUUCUGUGCUUGGACUGAAGGGAGCUCCUCUAGCCAUUGCCCUCAUUUUGUUUCUCCAGUUGUCUCGUCUUGUUUCUAAAAGACAAAGUCAGUUUCUCAGAAAAGUAGUUGCAUGAAUGUUGAACACCUAUCUCCUACAUUCUUCCACGCUGUUUUUAUAGUUAAAACUGAAGUUUCUCAACUCUCUAACACUUUUAUACAAGUUUCUCGAGUUCUUUAAUGAUCACAUAUCAGGUACAUUGAUAUGGAAUAGGAGGAUGUUAAUCCUCGCUUUCUUGAGAAAAUAUUACUGGAUGGGAGUGAUUAACUAAAAAUAUCUUGCUCGGUUCUGGUUCUUUCGGCAGUUAUUGUAAAACAUUAUAGUUAAUUCUAUCGUGGGUAAUCAGUUUCAACAACUAUAUAUAAUUGUUCUUACCUAGAAAAAGCUUGGUUCCUUCAUUGAUAAAUCCUAUCUGUCCAUCAAUUAUGCAUGAUGAAAUAGGACUUGUUAAUGUAUCUUGUGGGAGAUGAGUAAGAGAAGCUCAGAUGAUAACAUCCCUGUUUUGCUUGUCGAAGAAUGGCUUCAAACUGUUUUGCAGAUUUCAUUAUUCAUAACGGAAAGCUCCCUUGUGCAUGUUACAAGUUAGUACUUGGUUCCUUUUGUUAAUAUUUUCGGACAUGUUUGGUAGGAAGGAUUAGAUUAUACCAAUAAUAUCAAUGAAGAUAAUGAGCUAAAAUCAUGUAUAUUUUAAUCUCCAGACCUUUAAAGAAGAAAAUAAGCUAAAAUGAUGUUUAUUGUAUUCUCCAGGCUUGUCGAAUACCGAGCACCGUGUACCAAGCGUACACUUCUACUGUAUAUAUUUUCCACCAAGGUGUGUUGCGUGAAGAUCAUGAAGUUUAUCUGCAAUACCAUGUUGAUUUCACUUCACCUGCCAUCGGCAAAUUUAUUGGUAUGUUUCAAAUGUCGCAUAUUAUAUCCACAAGAAAAGCUCGCGUAGUUUGAUUUCUUGAACUGAGCUUGGCUUUUGCACUCAAUUCUAUUAAACAUCAUCAGAAAUACUCUUUUUUACUUUUAUGAUUAACUACUAGAUCUCCUUUCAGUCAAAAUCUUGUACUUUUACUGUCCAAAUUUUGUAGAAAAAGUACACUUAUCGAAUUAUAAAAUCAUAUAUAUCUGCUUUAAAAUCUCAUUAUCUGUUUCAUUUUCCACUUUGUUUAUGGUUUUAAGUACAUUUUUAAGGUAGUUAACUACUGUUCAUUAUCAGGCCAUGCAACUUUUGGUUCCAUUUAAGGCUGCAAGAUUUUAGGACAAUGUGAUAUUGCCAAAUAUGGGAUGAAGGACCUAAUUGUAGUUAACGUCCCUUUUUAGGAAAUUGGAGCUUUUUCUUGAAAUGAUUAGCAUUGUUAAGCUUUAUUUAUGCUUUUAAUCUUUUAUUUAUCCAUAACCUUUUUAUAUGUAUAGAAUCAAUAGAUUCUAUUUGUAGGGUGGUCCCCCCUCCCCUCAUAGUUUUUAAAUUGGGGUAAAUGUCCUUCAUUUUUGGUUCUUGAUAUUAUAUAAAUUUAUAUGAUGAAGACAAAGUGGGCAUUCAAAUGUAGUUUGUGAAAGUGUACAUUAAUCUUCUUUGUGGUCCUAGGGUUACAAGAAAGAGAUCUCUCUCUUUGGAGCACCUGAGAUCAAGGACAACUCGUCCUACCUCUAAAGGCAGUCGAGGAUUCAUAUGUCCCCAAAUAGACCUAGCAUCUCGAACAAUCACCUCUUCCUCCAAGGCUAUAUCCGGGCUUGUGUAAGAUCAUUCAAGUUGAGAGUUUGAACUUAGACCGAUGAAAACUCGAUUCUUGAAAAGGUUAAAAUGCUGUUUUAUAUUGAUUGGUACACUUCCCUUUCUAUGUAGCCCAAAAAUCUAGGGCUCUUAUGUGUAAUUGGUCCAGCCCUCCACCAUUUGGUGGUCCCCUAUUUGUAUUUUAAUAUAUAUAAUAAUUUAAUUGAUGGUGAAAUCAAG
rnacentral:lncRNA from 1 species